CGCUAGCUACAGGCUUAACACAUGCAAGUCGAGGGGCAGCAGGAUCUAGCAAUAGACUGCUGGCGACCGGCGCACGGGUGAGUAACACGUAUCCAACCUGCCGAUAACUCGGGGAUAGCCUUUCGAAAGAAAGAUUAAUACCCGAUAGUAUAAUCAGACCGCAUGGUUUGAUUAUUAAAGAAUUUCGGUUAUCGAUGGGGAUGCGUUCCAUUAGGCAGUUGGUGAGGUAACGGCUCACCAAACCUUCGAUGGAUAGGGGUUCUGAGAGGAAGGUCCCCCACAUUGGAACUGAGACACGGUCCAAACUCCUACGGGAGGCAGCAGUGAGGAAUAUUGGUCAAUGGACGCGAGUCUGAACCAGCCAAGUAGCGUGAAGGAUGACUGCCCUAUGGGUUGUAAACUUCUUUUAUAUGGGAAUAAAGUUUUCCACGUGUGGAAUUUUGUAUGUACCAUAUGAAUAAGGAUCGGCUAACUCCGUGCCAGCAGCCGCGGUAAUACGGAGGAUCCGAGCGUUAUCCGGAUUUAUUGGGUUUAAAGGGAGCGUAGGUGGACAGUUAAGUCAGUUGUGAAAGUUUGCGGCUCAACCGUAAAAUUGCAGUUGAUACUGGCUGUCUUGAGUACAGUAGAGGUGGGCGGAAUUCGUGGUGUAGCGGUGAAAUGCUUAGAUAUCACGAAGAACUCCGAUUGCGAAGGCAGCUCACUGGACUGCAACUGACACUGAUGCUCGAAAGUGUGGGUAUCAAACAGGAUUAGAUACCCUGGUAGUCCACACAGUAAACGAUGAAUACUCGCUGUUUGCGAUAUACAGUAAGCGGCCAAGCGAAAGCAUUAAGUAUUCCACCUGGGGAGUACGCCGGCAACGGUGAAACUCAAAGGAAUUGACGGGGGCCCGCACAAGCGGAGGAACAUGUGGUUUAAUUCGAUGAUACGCGAGGAACCUUACCCGGGCUUAAAUUGCAUUUGAAUAUAUUGGAAACAGUAUAGCCGUAAGGCAAAUGUGAAGGUGCUGCAUGGUUGUCGUCAGCUCGUGCCGUGAGGUGUCGGCUUAAGUGCCAUAACGAGCGCAACCCUUAUCUUUAGUUACUAACAGGUCAUGCUGAGGACUCUAGAGAGACUGCCGUCGUAAGAUGUGAGGAAGGUGGGGAUGACGUCAAAUCAGCACGGCCCUUACGUCCGGGGCUACACACGUGUUACAAUGGGGGGUACAGAAGGCAGCUACCUGGUGACAGGAUGCUAAUCCCAAAAGCCUCUCUCAGUUCGGAUCGAAGUCUGCAACCCGACUUCGUGAAGCUGGAUUCGCUAGUAAUCGCGCAUCAGCCAUGGCGCGGUGAAUACGUUCCCGGGCCUUGUACACACCGCCCGUCAAGCCAUGAAAGCCGGGGGUACCUGAAGUACGUAACCGCAAGGAGCGUCCUAGGGUAAAACUGGUAAUUG
rnacentral:rRNA from 1 species